rnacentral:lncRNA from 10 species
AGAACGUUGCUGUGGUAGCGCUCGGGCGCCAUGUUAGGACGAAGGGGAAGGAGGAGAAGCGCUUAAAGCGGCGGGAGCGGUGCGGGAGAGGGGUUGGACCCAGGGCUGAGGCAGGCCCCCCCCUCCCUCCCGCCUCAGUGGAUCAUGCCCAGGGCGGCAGCGGCGGCGGUUGCGGGGGGGAAGUGACUGGGCGGUGCCGGCGCCGGAGACGAUGCCGUUAAUCUUCCACAAUCUGUAAUUGAAAAUGUUGGAGGAAAAAUUUUUACAUUUGGAUCUUACAGAUUAGGAGUGCAUACAAAAGGUGCUGAUAUUGAUGCGUUGUGUGUUGCACCAAGACAUGUUGAUCGAAGUGACUUUUUCACCUCAUUCUAUGAUAAGUUGAAAUUACAGGAAGAAGUAAAAGAUUUAAGAGCUGUUGAAGAGGCAUUCGUACCAGUUAUUAAACUCUGUUUUGAUGGGAUAGAGAUUGAUAUUUUGUUUGCAAGAUUAGCACUGCAGACAAUUCCUGAAGAUUUGGAUCUACGAGAUGACAGUCUGCUAAAAAAUUUAGAUAUAAGAUGUAUAAGAAGUCUUAACGGUUGCAGG